rnacentral:rRNA from 1 species
UGGGGAAUAUUGCACAAUGGGGGAAACCCUGAUGCAGCGACGCCGCGUGAACGAAGAAGGUAUUCGUAUCGUAAAGUUCUGUCCUAUGGGAAGAUAAUGACAGUACCAUAGAAGAAAGCUCCGGCUAAAUACGUGCCAGCAGCCGCGGUAAUACGUAUGGAGCGAGCGUUGUCCGGAAUUAUUGGGCGUAAAGGGUACGCAGGCGGUUUAAUAAGUCGAAUGUUAAAGAUCGGGGCUCAACCCCGUAAAGCAUUGGAAACUGAUAAACUUGAGUAGUGGAGAGGAAAGUGGAAUUCCUUGUGUAGUGGUGAAAUACGUAGAUAUUAGGAGGAAUACCAGUAGCGAAGGCGACGUUCUGGACACAAACUGACGCUGAGGUACGAAAGCGUGGGGAGCAAACAGG